rnacentral:lncRNA from 1 species
AUGAAGGGUGGGGGAGAGGCGGCUUCACUUUGUGGGAAUGUUCAGGAGAGACAGACCAACGUACUGACCACGUCCUUUUACGAACAAACUGACCUGAAGUUAGCCACGAGUACGCAUCUUUCUCUCUCACACUCACGAGAAAACACGUCUACAGGAUUCCAGGAACGCAGUGGUCCCCGCAGGAUCCCUGCGAGAGCAGUUUCGAGUCGCAGGGGUGCUACCCGCAUCCCCAUCCCCGCACGCCGGAAGCCAGCGCUCCCGCCGGCUUCAGAGCCUGGAAGACGCGCGGGCCCGCAAGGAGGCUCCGGGCGGAGGGAAAAGUCUCAAGGCUUUCGCAGCACGACCCCGAGCCACCCUCCGUGUUUCCCCAGGAUCCCGUGACGCACUGGCCCAGUUGGCCAGCGUGGUGGCGGGGUGUGCCCGAGAGUCUUGAGGAGACCCCCCUCCUCCCCUGUGGCUUAGCCUGGCCUGGCCAAAAUCCACCAGAAGAGAGCCCAGAGGCUGUCUCAACCCUUCCGAUGGGAGCAAGGCGCAGGAUCGUCGGAGGAUCGCCCUCCUCCUGGAAAGUUAAGAAGAUGGGGAGAUGAAGGUGUAAGAGAGGCCUAGAAGGCCCCGGGGCAGAAGGCCUUAUUAACCUGGCACCCCACCUAAAGCCCCGGGUUUACACUUGCACACUUCCUUCUCCCCAUGCAGACUCAGGAGGUCGCACAUAUUCGAUAUCAGGCUUGAGCUGAGUCACCUGACUGUACACAGAACAUAUAUGCAGCUGUACCCGAAUACGUACCCGAGAAUUAGAGGAACACUAACAGCAGGAUCGGAAGAAAAAAAGAAGUGUUCGCAGACAGAAUUAUUCCAAUGCACGGGUGCACAUCGAGUUGUCCAGAUGCAGACAAAAGCUGUGGUGCCCACAAGGAAUGACCCCAGCCACAGGCAGAUGUGCAGGAAGCCACACACAGGGAGAGCCUGAAGGAGGAUGCAGGACUCGGGGCCAAGGGCUUCCUGCUAGAGGGACGUUGGCUUCCAAGGGUGAAACUGUUGAGCCAACCAGUUAAAGGUUUCAGGUCAAGUCCUGGAGACUAGAAAGAGCACAACGUCCAUCCACCGCUGAUCCUUUUGCCUUCCACUAAGCUGGGCUUUAGACACUCAGAAGAGGGCAACCCAGGAAAGAAUCAUUUUGAUUCGGGUUAUUUAUUUGUUACUAUUGUUGGUUAAGGAGAUUGUGUUCUGAAGAAGGAUGGGUGGGGAGCAUAGAUGGAUGCCCUAACUCAAUGCUGGGAGAUUCCUAAUUCUUAAUGGGAACAUUCGGCUCCAACGAGGGUUCAAGAAGCCAGGGGCCCUUAUUUUGCCUCUUUCUCACCUUUCAUUGCUAAAUGCAGUCCUU